rnacentral:rRNA from 1 species
UACGGAGGGUGCGAGCGUUGUCCGGAAUCACUGGGCGUAAAGGGCGCGUAGGCGGUCCGGUAAGCGUGUGGUGAAAGCCCGGGGCUCAACCCCGGGUCUGCCGUGCGAACUGCCGGACUCGAGCACUGUAGAGGCAGGUGGAAUUCCGAGUGUAGCGGUGGAAUGCGUAGAGAUUCGGAGGAACACCGGUGGCGAAGGCGGCCUGCUGGGCAGUGUCUGACGCUGAGGCGCGACAGCGUGGGGAGCGAACAGG